rnacentral:tRNA from 1 species
UGGCUUAGCAGGUAAAAGCAUGGACUCUGCAAGUCUGAGAGCCUGAGUUCAAAUCUCUG